UACGGAGGGUGCGAGCGUUGUUCGGAAUCACUGGGCGUAAAGGGUGCGUAGGCGGCGCGGUAAGUCGGGUGUGAAAUCUCGGAGCUUAACUCCGAAACUGCAUUCGAUACUGCCGUGCUUGAGGACUGGAGAGGAGACUGGAAUUUACGGUGUAGCGGUGAAAUGCGUAGAUAUCGUAAGGAAGACCAGUGGCGAAGGCGGGUCUCUGGACAGUUCCUGACACUGAGGCACGAAGGCCAGGGGAGCAAACGGG
rnacentral:rRNA from 1 species